rnacentral:lncRNA from 1 species
CUGCCCAGAUUUACGCAUCUCUCUCUCUCUCGGUCUGUGGCUUUUUUAUUGAAAGUUUUGAAAACAAAAAUUCUCAAAUCCUUGAAUAACCCUAAUAGGCUAAUCCCCAACCUUUUUAUUCUUUUCCCUAAUUACCAUCUCAAAGGAGAUCGUCGGCCACAAACAAUAAAGAAGAACAAGUGAAGGUUGAUGAGUUUCGAUCGGCUGUCGGCAACUCCUUGGAUAAUUCGAUUCGAACCCCAUUUUUAGCCAACAACUCAUUUCUUUCGAUUAUUGGUUAGUAAUUGUGGCCCUUUUUAAUACUUGUGUCAAGAUUUAAAAUAACCCUUUUUUGUAUUAAAACAAUUUUUUUAGGCAAGGUGUUUUGAUGUUUUAAUUUUUUAAAUUUUUUUUUUUUUUGCUAUGUGUAAUGUAUUUGAUUAACAAUAAUUUUUUAUCUAUGUUAUGUUUAUGGAUUAUAUUAUUAUGCUACAUUUUUUUUUUUUUGCAAAAGGUAUGCAUUUGGUAUUCGAAGUCUCCAAUUCCCUGUUCAUGAUCAUCCAUCGGAUUCGGAUCCAAAUGCAUUUGCGACUAUAAAUAAUUGGAAUUAAUUAGGCGUGUAAAUUUUGCUAAACUUCAACAGUAGUAUUAAUUUAUAGAAAUAAAAUGAGGUAGAAAGUCUUUAACACGUCUUCCAACAUUUCAUUCUGAAUUUGAAAUGAUGUUCACCGGAUUAUAUAAGCAUUUAACAAAUAACAAAUGAAUAGAAAUAUAAGCAUAACUAAUUAAUGUAGUGUAUAGUACAAAAUAGUUGAAAAAUAAGCGAGGUUUAGUAUUCUUGUUGAUGAAGUGUAGUACAAAAUAGAUUAAUGAGGUUUUGAAAAAUAACUGAUUAAACAUAACUGAUUAAUGCAAAGUUUAGUAUUCUUGUUGAUGAAGCUCGAGAUGCAUCUUCACAAGAACAAAUGAUUAUUAUCUUGAGGUUUGUGAGUGGUAAUGGAAUUUUGACAGAACGUUUUUUUUGCAAUCAAAAGUGUUAGUGACACUACAUCGUUGAAUCUUAAGAAUCAAAUAUCUGAUGUUUUUGUUCAACCUUCAACUGCAAAACAUGAGAGGUCAAUGGUAUGAUAGUGCUAAUAACAUGCGUAGUGCUUGGAAUGGACUACAAGCAUUAUUUCUUAGAGAUUGUCUGUAUGCGUAUUAUGUCCAUUGUUUUGCCCAUCGUUUACAACUCAUGUUAGUUUCAGCAGCUAGGGAUGUCGCAGAUAUUAAUUCAUUCUUUUCAGAUUUGGACAAUGUUAUUAAUAUGAUUACAUCAUCUCCUAAGCGCAUCAAUGAGUUGAAAAGUUUCCAAAAAAAAGAAAUUGAACAUUUGUUCGAAAUUGGAGAACGAAAGACUAGAAGUGGGGCUAAUCAAGUUGGUAACUUGCAACGAGCUGGAGGUACCCGUUGGUCUUCUCAUUACAACUCUGUAAAGAAUUUGAUUGAUAUGUAUGCUGCAACUUGCAAGGUGCUUGAGUAUCUUGGUGAUCAUUCUCCAAAUGUAAGAACUCAAUCUGAAGUGG